rnacentral:rRNA from 1 species
AUUGAACGCUGGCGGCAGGCCUAACACAUGCAAGUCGAGCGGAUGAAGGGAGCUUGCUCCUGGAUUCCGCGGCGGACGGGUGUGUAAUGCCUAGGAAUCUGCCUGGUAGUGGGGGAUAACGUCCGGAAACGGGCGCUAAUACCGCAUACGUCCUGAUGGUGAAAGUGUGGGAUCUUCGGCCCUCACGCUAUCAGAUGAGCCUAGGUCGGAUUAGCUAGUUGGUGGGGUAAAGGCCUACCAAGGCGACGAUCCGUAACUGGUCUGAGAGGAUGAUCAGUCACACUGGAACGGAGACACGGACCAGACUCCUACGGGAGGCAGCAGAGGGGAAUAGUGGACAAGGGGCGAAAGCAUGAUCCAGCCAAGCCGCGUGUGGGAAGAAGGGCUUCGGAUUGUAAAGCACUUUAAGUUGGGAGGAAGGGCAGUAAGUUAAUACCUUGCUGUUUUGACGUUACCAAAAGAAUAAGCACCGGCUAACUUCGUG